CCUGGACAGGCAGCCUCCUUUGUGUGUAUUCAGAGGCAGUGAUGACUUGCUGUCCAGGCAGCUCCCUCCUGCAGACAGAAUGCUCAGGGUCACCGAACCACUGCUUCUCUUUUGAAAGUAGAGCUAGCUGCCACUUUCACGUGGCCUCUGGAGUGUCUCCACCUACACCCCUGUGCUCCCCUGCCACACUGAUGGCUCAAGACAAGGCUGGCAAACCCUCCCAGAAACAUCUCUGGCCCAGAAAGCCUCUCUCUCCCACCCUCUCUCAUGAGACACAGCCAAGCCAAGCACUCACGUUGAGCCAGUGGGCCAGCCACAGAGCAAAAGAGGGUUUAUUUUCAGUCCCCUCUCUCUGGGUCAGAACCAGAGAGCAUGCUGAAUGCCCCCUGCUUGCUCGGUAAGGGUUCCCUGCCUGAGUCAGUGCUCUCAGCUGGCAGUGCAAUGCUUGUAGAAGUAGAAGGAAACAGUUCUCACUGGGAAGAAGCAACGGCAAGAACCCAAGUGCCUCACCUCGAAAGGAGGCCCUGUUCCCUGGAGUCAGGGUGAACUGCAAAGCUUUGGCUGAGACCUGGGAUUUGAGAUACCACAAACCCUGCUGAACACAGUGUCUGUUCAGCAAACUAAGCAGCAUUCCCUACAGCCUAGGGCAGACAAUAGUAUAGAAGUGUGGAAAAAAACAAAAACAGAAUUUGAGAACCUUGGACCACUCCUGUCCCUGUAGCUCAGUCAUCAAAGCAGAAGCCUGGCUUUGCUCUAUUAAGACUGGAAAUGUACACUACCAAACACUCAGUCCACUGUUGAGCCCCAGUGCUGGAAGGGAGGAGGGCCUUCCUGUGUUAAUGGCAUAGAGGCUACAGGGGUUAGCCUGGACUACAGGCAUCCUUGUCUUUUGAGCUAUUCACCUCAGUAGAAAAGAAUCUAAGGAGAGAUCACUGUAGUUUAGUUCUGUUGACCUGUGCACCUACCCCUUGGAAAUGUCCUGGUAUUUCUAAUUCCACAGGUCAUCAGAUGCCUGCUUGAUAAUAUAUGAACAAUAAAAACAACUUUCACUUCUUCCUAUUGUAAUCGUGUGCCAUGGAUCUGAUCUGUACCAUGACCCUACAUAAGGCUGGAUGGCACCUCAGGCUGAGGGCCCCAAUGUAUGUGUGGCUGUGGGUGUGGGUGGGGGUGUGUCUGCUGAGUAAGGAACACUAUUUUCAAGAUUCUAAAGCUCAAUUCAAGUGACACAUUAAUGAUAAACUCAGAUCUGAUCAAGAGUCCAGAUUUCUAACAGUCCUUGCUUUGGGGGUGUGCUGACAACUUAACUCGGGUGCCUUACAUCUUUCCUAAUCACAGUGUUGCAUAUGAGCCUGCCCUCACUCUCUCUGCAGAAUCCCUUUGCACCUGAGAGCCUACUGAAGUGGCUGGUAGAAAAAGGGGCCUGAGUGGAGGAUUAUCCGUAUCACGAUUUGCAGGAUUCCCUUCUGGGCUUCAUUCUGGAAACUUUUGUUUGGGCUGCUUUUCUUAAGUGCCCACAUUUGAUGGAGGGUGGAAGUAAUUUGAAUGUAUUUGAUUUAUACAUAUAUUUUUUUUUUAGGUUAAAAGAUGGUUGUAGCAUUUAAAAUCAAAAAUUUUCUCCUUGGUUUGCUAGUAUCUUGGGUCUAUUCUCUGUAAGUGUAGCUCAAAUAGGUCAUCAUGAAAGGUUAAAAAAGCGAGGUGGCCAUGUUAUGCUGGUGGUUAAGGCCAGGGCCUCUCCUACCACUGUGCCACUGACUUGCUAUGUGACCCUGGGCAAGUCACUUAACUAUAAGGUGCCUCAGUUUUCCUUCUGUUAAAAUGGGGAUAAUAAUACUGACCUACCUCAAAGGGCAGUUUUGAGGCGUGAAUAAUGCUUUUUAGAAAGCAUUUUGGGAUCCUUCAGCACAGGAAUUCUUAAGACCUGAGUAUUUUUUGUAAUAGCAGUGUCCACCAUGAACUUGAUAUGUCCGUGUGUCCCAGAUGCUGUCAUUAGUCUAUAUGGUUCUCCAAGAAACUGAGUGAAUCCAUUGGAGAAGCGGUGGAUAACUAGCCAGACAAAAUUUGAGAAUGCAUAAACAACGCAUUGCCACGGAAACAGACAGAGGAUGCCUUUUCUGUGAUUGGGCGGGAUUUUUUCCCUUUUUAUGUGGGAUAUAGUAGUUACUUGUGACAAGAAUAAUUUUGGAAUAAUUUCUAUUAAUAUCAACUCUGAAGCUAAUUGUACUAAUCUGAGAUUGUGUUUGUUCAUAAUAAAAGUGAAGUGAAUCUGA